rnacentral:lncRNA from 1 species
CGGUCAUCAAGCUUGCUUUGUGAAUUAUCAUUGACAAGAAUGUUAAGAGCACCAUCAAUCUUCUUGAGGGCAGGCUCUCCAAGGGUGGAGUUGUUUUAUAGAACAAAAGCCAUUAGUAACCAGUGGCUGUAGAAGAAGGAAUAAAUUAGCACAAGUCAUGAUGCAGCCAUUCUGAGGUGUCCAACGACUGCUUACUUUUAUUGGUUUUUAACCGUUGGGUGACAAUGGAAAGGUAAGAGGUGUUUUGGAAAGUGUUGUUGGUCGGUUGUUUGUUAUUGUUUCUUCG